AGAGUUUGAUCAUGGCUCAGAUUGAACGCUGGCGGAAUGCUUUACACAUGCAAGUCGAACGGCAGCACGGGAGCUUGCUCCUGGUGGCGAGUGGCGAACGGGUGAGUAACACGUCGGAACGUAUCCAUUAAUGGGGGAUAACGCAGCGAAAGCUGUGCUAAUACCGCAUACGCCCCGAGGGGGAAAGCAGGGGAUCUUCGGACCUUGCGUUAUUGGAGCGGCCGACGUCUGAUUAGCUAGUUGGUGGGGUAAAGGCCUACCAAGGCGACGAUCAGUAGCUGGUCUGAGAGGAUGAUCAGCCACACUGGAACUGAGACACGGUCCAGACUCCUACGGGAGGCAGCAGUGGGGAAUUUUGGACAAUGGGCGCAAGCCUGAUCCAGCCAUUCCGCGUGAGUGAAGAAGGCCUUCGGGUUGUAAAGCUCUUUCGGCAGGGAAGAAACAGUUGAGGCCAAUACCCUUGACCAAUGACGGUACCUGAAGAAGAAGCACCGGCUAACUACGUGCCAGCAGCCGCGGUAAUACGUAGG
rnacentral:rRNA from 1 species